rnacentral:rRNA from 1 species
GACGAACGCUGGCGGCGUGCUUAACACAUGCAAGUCGAACGGAAAGGCCCUGCUUGCAGGGUACUCGAGUGGCGAACGGGUGAGUAACACGUGGGUGAUCUGCCCUGCACUUCGGGAUAAGCCUGGGAAACUGGGUCUAAUACCGGAUAGGAGACAUUUUUAGUGUGAUGGUUGGAAAGUUUUUUCGGUGUAGGCUGAGCUCGCGGCCUAUCGGCUUGUUGGUGGGGUGAUGGCCUACCAAGGCGGCGACGGGUAGCCGGCCUGAGGGGGUGGACCGCCACAUUGGGACUGAGAUACGGCCGAGGCUCCUACGGGAGGCAGCUGUGGGGAAGAUUGCACAAUGGGCGCAAGCCUGGUGCAGCGACGCCGCGUGGGGGAUGACGGCCUUCGGGUUGGAAACUCCUUUCGCUAGGGACGAAGCUUUUUGUGACGGUACCUAGAUAAGAAGCACCGGCUAACUACGUG